rnacentral:rRNA from 1 species
UACGUAGGAUGCAAGCGUUGUUCGGAAUUACUGGGCGUAAAGAGUACGUAGGCGGUUUGAUAAGUCUGCUAUUAAAGACUGGAGCUUAACUCCAGGACUGUAGUGGAAACUGUCAGACUAGAGGACAAUAAAGGAAGUCGGAAUUCCUGGUGUAGCGGUGAAAUGCGUAGAUAUCGGGAGGAACACCAGUGGCGAAGGCGACUUCCUGGCCUGUUCUUGACGCUGAGGCGCGAAAGCUAGGGGAGCAAACGGG